rnacentral:rRNA from 1 species
GAUCAUAUUCUCAGAUUAAAGACUAAGCCAUGCAUGUCCAAGACUAAACAAGUUGUCAGUGAAUCUGCGUAUGGCUCAUUAAAUGAACCAUCACCUACCCGAGAACAAUGUACAACUGGAUAACCGUUGUAAUUCAAGGGCUAAUAUGCGUCAAAAAGGGCUUCGCAAGGAGUCUUUGCAUUUGUUAGUCUCAAACCAACAUUUAUUGGUGAAUCAUGACAAACUGCGGAUCCUCAUGUUGCAACAAACGGAGGACGACUCGGUCGGGUCUUUCCCUUAUCAGGUCUCGUAGGGAGUGUAUUGUACUCUCUAGCCUUUGACGGGUAACGGAGAAUCAGGGUUCGAUUCCGGAGAAGGAGCCUGAGAGACGGCUACUACAUCUAAGGAAGGCAGCAGGCGCGCAAAUUUCCCAAUGCUCAUCGAGCGAGGAAGUGACGAUCAAUAAUAAUGUGCGGGGUUUUCCCUGUGCAAUUACAAUGAGUAAAAUGUACAAGCGUUUUCCAUGAUCAAUUGGAGGGCAAGUCUGGUGCCAGCAGCCGCGGUAAUUCCAGCUCCAAUAGGAUAUAUCAAAGUUGUUGCAGUUGAAAAGCUCGUAGUCGUAUUUCUGGUGGGUUGAUGUUCUUGUUCGGUUUAGGGAAACCUGGAUCGUAGUAAGGGCCGCCUGCCAUUUUGUGGAUCUACGUGGCGGGGCUGUGGUUUACUCCAUGACCCCGUCGCGCCACUCCGUCACUGAGAGCAAAUUGGAGUGCUCAAAGCAGGCUUUACAGCUUUGAACAUCUUAGCUUGGAAUGACAAAGUACGACUUUUUGUUCACUUUGUUGGUUAUGAAUGAGAGGUAAUGAUAAAUAGGAACAGUUGCGGGGGUACUCGUACUGGAAAGUCAGAGGUGAAAUUCUUGGAUUUUUCCAUGACGAACGACUGCGAAAGCAUUUACCAAGGAUGUUUUCAUUGAUCAAGAACGAAAGUGCGAGGAUCGAAGAUGAUUAGAUACCAUCGUAGUUCGCACAGUAAACGAUGCCGACUCGGGAUUGGGUUCUCUUCGUUUUAAGAAGGAUCUCAGCACCGUAUGUGAAAACAAAGUCUUUGGGUUCCGGGGGGAGUAUGGUCGCAAGGUUGAAACUUAAAGGAAUUGACGGAAGGGCACACCAGAGGUGGAGCCUGCGGUUUAAUUUGACCCAACACGGGGAAACUCACCAGGUCCAGACAUGGGAAGGAUUGACAGUUUGAAAGCACUUUCUUGAUUUCAUGGGUGGUGGUGCAUGGCCGUUCUUAGUUGGUGGAGUGAUUUGUCUGGUUGAUUCCGAUAACGAACGAGACUCUCAGAGUAAACUGGUUAGGUCGUAAUUCACGUUACUUCCAGCCUCUUUUCUCGACAAUUCGUUUUAAACGAAAGGAAGCGGAGAGCAAUAACAGGUCUGUGAUGCCCCUCGAUGUUCUGGGCCACACGCGCGCUACAAUGACGAGUUCAACGAGUUUUUUCUCCUUGCCCGGAAGGGUGUGGGUAAUCUUUUCAAUGCUCGUCGUGAUGGGGCUAGAUUUUUGCAAUUAUUAAUCUUCAACGAGGAAUCUCUAGUAUGUGCAGUUCAUCAGACUGCGCAGAAUGCGUCCCUGCCCUUUGUACACACCGCCCGUCGCACCUACCGAUUGGACGAUCCGGCAAGAUGUUUGGAGUCGUGUUUGUUGGGCUUUCGGGCUUGACAGAUGUGACAAAGCUCCUCAAACCUUAUCGUCUAGAGGAA